AGAAGUGUGAGGUUUGGUCCUAUUGGAAAUGUUUGUUUACCUGUUCUUGAGAGAGAGGUUAUUAACUACCAUAGCAACUAAUGGAUAAGAUAGGAGAGCAAUUACCCACGUGGCUGGAUAGAGACGCUGAGAAGAGCCUGCAGUUCAGACAAGUAUAUGGAGAAAAACCCCUGUAACGUAAGUUGUGGAGAAGACAUGGGCGUGCUGGAGCCAGAGUAAUGGGUGUCAGCAGCUUGUGAAGUCCAGUGGGAACUCGGAACGCAUAAUUACCUCUCGGAGGCUGCUACCUGGCUGAUGGAGCGAUGACACACGACCGCAUUCAUCCACUCCAAUGGCAGCACUCUCUCACCGUUGGAGAGUUUGCAUUGGUUGUUUCCCAGUUGAGAUUUUACAAACAAAAAGGAAUGUGAAGACUUCUGCCAAGCAGGAUAUGACAGAUCAGAUGUUAGCUUAUCUUAAAAUGUGGUUGUCCCCCUAUUGAAGUUCUCGACUUGACUGGCACGUCAGCCGUCUCGCGGGUAAUAGAAACUAGCAUGUCUUUAAAAAGGUGGUUUGUUGAAGGAUUUGUAACAUCGUAACACAAAGGGAGGUCCCACGCCUUGUUCUUGGCGGUAGGCAGGAGGAAAAUGCCUCGGGCCAAUUCGCGACGUUCACUCAGUAUGUGGCUGUGGUUGGAGGCAGUUUCUGUACCUGUUUACGGACACCUGUCGGAUUACAGUCAACACCGGGGUGAAGCAGCGGAUCCGGUUAGAAGAGAUGGGGGGGGGGGGGUGAUGUCGUUCAAAGAGUUACACUACAGUGAAAUACUGUGUCAUUUUGUGACGUUUAGACGUGCUGACAAGGCAAACAACCCCUUGCCAAAUACAUGUCUUGUCCGGUUGCGUCUGGCCCCGCCCCCUACGGUUCACUGAGCCAAUGGCCAAAGAACACACCCCUCCUUUUGUGCGACAGCGCAUACACACGCACACGCUCGCUAAGGAGAAGGAGGAAUGACGGACGGACGGAAGUAAAAGACCGGCGGACAUGCUGACAGCUUGACAGGAGGCAACGAGGAAACACAUUAAUAACAGUCCCCAGGACCGAAGUCACUGUUUGAUUUUCACAAGCUGCUAUUAAGGAGAUGUGGUUUUUCAACUUCUCAGUGUGUUGUUGUUAUCUAUGCAUGGAUACAGAAGGAUAAGCAGGAGGUUCAUGAAGGCUUUGCAGUGACGUAACAUGUCAUCUCUCAUAAUUGUUGUUUCUAUUGGAUUGUACUGGUUUGUUGACCGAAGAAUUACAUGGAAUUUGAACUGAAGUACACAGUGCAUGUCAGAUUCAGAGUUUCCUGUGUCUGCAAAUCUGGUUCAGUACUGUAAACUAUGUUUAACUUAAUAUGGAUGCUUUUUUUUAUCCAAAUCAAAUCUUUAAGAUCCGAUAUCUGCAAAUCUUACUGGUACUGAAUUACAUGGUAUCGGUACUCAAGUACACAGUGCAUGUCAGUUUUUGAGUAUUCUGUGUCUGCCAAUCUAGUUCACUAUGGUUAACAAUGUUAACUUAAUGUUGAGAUUUUUAUA